GAUGAACGCUGGCGGCGUGCCUAAUACAUGCAAGUCGAGCGAACGGACGAGAAGCUUGCUUUUCUGAUGUUAGCGGCGGACGGGUGAGUAACACGUGGAUAACCUACCUAUAAGACUGGGAUAACUUCGGGAAACCGGAGCUAAUACCGGAUAAUAUUUUGAACCGCAUGGUUCAAAAGUGAAAGACGGUCUUGCUGUCACUUAUAGAUGGAUCCGCGCUGCAUUAGCUAGUUGGUAAGGUAACGGCUUACCAAGGCAACGAUGCAUAGCCGACCUGAGAGGGUGAUCGGCCACACUGGAACUGAGACACGGUCCAGACUCCUACGGGAGGCAGCAGUAGGGAAUCUUCCGCAAUGGGCGAAAGCCUGACGGAGCAACGCCGCGUGAGUGAUGAAGGUCUUCGGAUCGUAAAACGCUGUUAUUAGGGAAGAACAUAUGUGUAAGUAACUGUGCACAUCUUGACGGUACCUAAGCAGAAAGCCACGGCUAACUACGU
rnacentral:rRNA from 1 species